rnacentral:rRNA from 1 species
UACGGGGGGGGCAAGCGUUGUUCGGAAUUACUGGGCGUAAAGGGCUCGUAGGCGGCCAACUAAGUCAGACGUGAAAUCCCUCGGCUUAACCGGGGAACUGCGUCUGAUACUGGAUGGCUUGAAUCCGGGAGAGGGAUGCGGAAUUCCAGGUGUAGUGGUGAAAUGCGUAGAUAUCGGGAGGAACACCAGUGGCGAAGGCGACUUCCUGGCCUGUUCUUGACGCUGAGGCGCGAAAGCUAGGGGAGCAAACGGG